rnacentral:rRNA from 1 species
AUGCAGAAUGCAUUGUUGAAGCUAUGGGCAAUGGUUGAAGAUGCCAAAAGUGCUAGGGUGAAUGACAAUCUUGAGAAUUCUUUCACUAUCCACCAUCUGACAGAAGAGAAGAACAAGCUGGAGGCCAACUAUGACAAGCUAGUCCAAGAUGUGCAUGAGCUGAUGAACUUCCAGGAAGAUAAGGUGGUGGAUUUCAGGCAUCUGCAGUCUGCCAUUAUAUAUCAGCAGGAGGUAAGAAAAGAACUGACUGAUGAUAUGAAGGCAAAGAUGGCAAAGAAAGAUGCAGAGACCCAGCAACUUACUCAGAAGUAUGAGGUGCUGCUCAACCUGACAAGAGCUCAAGCAACAGUCAUUCAGAACUUGAAGUUGAACAAAAUGAAAGAGAAGCAAGUGCUUACUGAAGCUAGUAUGAAUUUGGAGCUGAAGAAUGCAGAGCUAACUAAGUGUCAGGAGAAGCUCACCCAAGAGAAGCUAGAGUUGGAGCUUCAGGUUGCUGAUCUGCUUAAGGGAAAUAAAAAGCAUAUUGAAGAGAAGUGGCAGUUAGAGUUUCAGAAUGAAAAGUUGAAGGAGAAGUUCAGGGGGAUUCAAGCCAUCUUGGAGAAGUGA